AUUGAACGCUGGCGGCAUGCUUUACACAUGCAAGUCGAACGGUAACAGGUUAAGCUGACGAGUGGCGAACGGGUGAGUAAUGCAUCGGAACGUGCCCGGUCGUGGGGGAUAACGCAGCGAAAGCUGCGCUAAUACCGCAUACGAUCUGAGGAUGAAAGCGGGGGACCGUAAGGCCUCGCGCGAUCGGAGCGGCCGAUGUCAGAUUAGGUAGUUGGUGAGGUAAAGGCUCACCAAGCCAACGAUCUGUAGCUGGUCUGAGAGGACGACCAGCCACACUGGGACUGAGACACGGCCCAGACUCCUACGGGAGGCAGCAGUGGGGAAUUUUGGACAAUGGGCGAAAGCCUGAUCCAGCAAUGCCGCGUGCAGGAAGAAGGCCUUCGGGUUGUAAACUGCUUUUGUACGGAGCGAAAAGGCUCUCUCUAAUACAGGGGGCUCAUGACGGUACCGUAAGAAUAAGCACCGGCCAACUACGUGCCAGCCGCCGCGGUAAGAC
rnacentral:rRNA from 1 species